rnacentral:misc_RNA from 1 species
UUUAUCAACCCUUUUCACAUCUACAUGUAGCUUUGUGUUUAGUUUAUGUUGUACAUGUGAACACUUAUAAGUAUAUUAACAUUUUUGUAUGUCAUAGUCAUCUCACCAACUCAUUGAUACUGUACAAAGUAGUCGAAUGCUUUUAUUUUUAUCAUAGUCCAUCAAAUUUCCUAUCUUGAAGGUUUAAGAAAAUUUGGUUUUUGUGUAAAUUAUAUCAGUAAUCAUAAUGAUUCCUACAAGUGGUUUUUUUUUCUUCAUAAUAUUAAGAUACAUGAACUAUUAUAUAGUUCAAAUCAAUCUAUUAUAUAAUUCAAUUGAUAUAUUCUUUUAAGUGUAAAGUUUUUAUUUGUAUUUUCAUCAUUAUUUGUAAUGUGUGUAAAUAUAAAACAUACACUUGUAAACGUAUUCACACAUUUGGGAUUUUUUUUUUGUUCUUUUUGAAACAGUUAAUUUUUGGGUUUUCUUUUAGUUUGGUAUUAAAGCUCUUAAUUUUUGUCAUAAUGGAAUGAUCAGGGUGUAUUUCUGUCUUUGUCAUUUCUUUAUUAGCUGUAUGAAAAUAUACGCAUCGUUGUGUGUAGAUAUGCUCGAGUCAAGUAAUGUUGAGUAGGUACUGGUAUGUUCAAAUUCAUUUUUUUGAAGCUUGUUAAUAUUCACAUAUUGUUGGGAAAGUUUCAUGUGUCUUAUAUGCAUUUAAUUGGUGUAUUUACAUGUACAUUUAUUAACUCUUCUGUGAUAUAAUCAAUUAAGGGCAACAGGGAAGCUACUCUUACAUUGAUUUGAAACAAUCUUAUGCAGAUAAAAGCUGCAUAUCAAGUAAAUGUAUUUGGAUACUACAUGUAAUUUUAAAAAAAUAAAAGAAUUGACCGG